rnacentral:rRNA from 1 species
GCUUACGGUCACACUACCCUGAGAACGCCCGAUCUCGUCUGAUCUCGGAAGCUAAGCAGGGUUUGGCACUGGUAGUACUUGUACUGGGGAACCACCUGGGAAUACCAGGUGCUGUAAGCU